UACGGAGGGUGCGAGCGUUGUCCGGAAUCACUGGGCGUAAAGGGCGCGUAGGCGGCGCGAGCAGUCGGCGGUGAAAGCCCGGAGCUCAACUCCUGGUCGGCCGUCGAUACUCUCGUGCUCGAGCACUGUAGAGGCAGGUGGAAUUCCGGGUGUAGCGGUGGAAUGCGUAGAGAUCCGGAAGAACACCGGUGGCGAAGGCGGCCGUGCUGGGCAGUGAGCUGACGCUGGAUGCG
rnacentral:rRNA from 1 species